rnacentral:miRNA from 1 species
CAUACCAUUUGCAAAAGUAGACAACCCAAGGUAUUGCAAGUGGGGUAUGUCCAGUCUUUCUUAGUAGCCACUUAGUCACAAACACUGGCCAAAUAUUAGUUUUUUGCUUUUUUUCACACAAAAACAAAUAUGAACGCUAACUUUGGCCAGUGUUUGUGACUAAGUGGCUACUAAAAAAGACUAAACAUACCCCACUUUCAAUACCUUGUGUUGUCUACUUUUUCAAAUGGUAUG